rnacentral:rRNA from 1 species
CUAACACAUGCAAGUCGAGCGGUAACAUUUCUAGCUUGCUAGAAGAUGACGAGCGGCGGACGGGUGAGUAAUGCUUGGGAAUAUGCCUUAGGGUGGGGGACAACAGUUGGAAACGACUGCUAAUACCGCAUAACGUCUACGGACCAAAGGGGGCUUCGGCUCUCGCCCUUAGAUUAGCCCAAGUGGGAUUAGCUAGUUGGUGAGGUAAUGGCUCACCAAGGCGACGAUCCCUAGCUGGUUUGAGAGGAUGAUCAGCCACACUGGAACUGAGACACGGUCCAGACUCCUACGGGAGGCAGCAGUGGGGAAUAUUGCACAAUGGGCGCAAGCCUGAUGCAGCCAUGCCGCGUGUGUGAAGAAGGCCUUAGGGUUGUAAAGCACUUUCAGUAAGGAGGAAAGGUUAGUAGUUAAUACCUGCUAGCUGUGACGUUACUUACAGAAGAAGCACCGGCUAACUCCGUGCCAGCAGCCGCGGUAAUACGGAGGGUGCGAGCGUUAAUCGGAAUUACUGGGCGUAAAGCGUACGCAGGCGGUUUGUUAAGCGAGAUGUGAAAGCCCCGGGCUCAACCUGGGAACUGCAUUUCGAACUGGCAAACUAGAGUAUGAUAGAGGGUGGUAGAAUUUCAGGUGUAGCGGUGAAAUGCGUAGAGAUCUGAAGGAAUACCGAUGGCGAAGGCAGCCACCUGGGUCAAUACUGACGCUCAUGUACGAAAGCGUGGGGAGCAAACGGGAUUAGAUACCCCGGUAGUCCACGCCGUAAACGAUGUCUACUAGGAGCUGGGGUCUUCGGACAACUUUUCCAAAGCUAACGCAUUAAGUAGACCGCCUGGGGAGUACGGCCGCAAGGUUAAAACUCAAAUGAAUUGACGGGGGCCCGCACAAGCGGUGGAGCAUGUGGUUUAAUUCGAUGCAACGCGAAGAACCUUACCUACACUUGACAUACAGAGAACUUUCUAGAGAUAGAUUGGUGCCUUCGGGAACUCUGAUACAGGUGCUGCAUGGCUGUCGUCAGCUCGUGUUGUGAGAUGUUGGGUUAAGUCCCGCAACGAGCGCAACCCCUAUCCUUAGUUGCCAGCGAUUCGGUCGGGAACUCUAAGGAGACUGCCGGGG